GGGGGGUUUGAAGGGGCAAAGGUCACGAGCCGGCGCGGUCCGGCUUCUCGGGGGUCGUGACCCCAUCUGGGGGCAGAGGACAAAGCCACAUGCAGGGUGCUCGCUGGGGGUGAGGCCCGCUGGCCAGACCUACAGAAUGGGGGGCCAGGGGGAUCCAGGAAAGCAGCAUCUCCACAAAGGAUCGCAGGGUCACACUGGACACACGACUCCCCCGGCUCCCGGGGCGAUGUGGCGGCAGAAAGAGCCAGUCGGCAGCUUUAUCUCUGUCUGCGGCUUCGGGGAGAGCAAUCGCUGUUGGAAACUGGCCAAAUCUGGGGUCCCCGUUUUAAAAAGGCUGUUGGAUAGUUGUUGAGGAUGCAGAAAAGAGCCACAAAACUGAUUUGCAGGCUGGAGAAAAUGCAGAGACUCUGAGAGCUCAGUCCGUUUCACUUAUCAGAAAGGAGAUUGAGAGGGGACCAGAUUAGAGCAUCUAAGUAUCUUCACAGGGAGAAAACCCUGGGUCCUGCAGGGCUCUUUGCCCUAGCAGAGAAAGGCAGGACAAGAACCGAUGGUUGGAAACUGAAGCCAGAGAAAAUCACAUUAAAAAUGACACACAUUUAACUGGAUGGGUGUUUAACCAUUGGAACUACCUCCCGAGUGAUGGAUUCUCCGUCUCUUGGUGUCCCAGAUCCAAGCUGGAGGCUUAUCCGGAAGAUGUUUUAGUCAAACACAAGUUCUUGGGCUCAGUGCAUGUGUAACGGGAUGAAGUUAAAUGGCUUGUGUUACACAGAA